GCCCGGGAGAGUUGUUUAGCUGAGGCCACUGUGCCUUUAAAAGAGGAGGGCAAAGGGGCCAGGGAAAACAGCAGAAUCAGGGUGUAACCCGUUCAACAAAUGACAGUCACCAAAGGGAGUGUUUCAGGUCAGGUUAAUUUGUGUAGCUGAAGGCCUGGGGGGUGGAAUUGCCUUCCUGGGUCUUCUCCCCCACUUAUGCAUACAGGUGAAGCUCUGUGAAGACCACACCUCCCUACUGCCCUUUCCCAAAGAUCUGUGCUUAGAAGUCAAAGCCAGACUUCCACCUGCCGUGACUGAACACCAGCCAAAAAGACCUCGAAAGCACAACUUUGGCCCGAGGGCGGAGGGGAGAGUGGACAGGUGUGGGUGGGUCCAUGAGUCACCGCCUGGCCACAGAGAGGAGGGAGACCGAGAGGAAUACGGAGGUGCUCUGCUCCCUGCCUAACUCACAAAUCCGCUCUGCCUUCCUGUAGUUUUGUUGGCGGAGAGGAGAAAAGAUGAGCGUUCCCGCAGAACCAAAACCUUUUGGGAAACAGAAGGCCAGCAACUUGCAAACGCAGUCACAAAUCAUCGAGUUAAACAUCGGCGGGGACAUCUUCACAACCACCUCUAGCACUUUGACGAAACACCCCCGGUCCAAGCUGGCCGAAAUGUUUAACUCUGGCCAGCCGAAGCUGCAAACAGACUCCGAAGGGAGGUACUUCAUCGACCGGCCUGGAACUUAUUUUAAAUACAUUUUGGAAUACCUGCGCAGCAACCAGGUGCCCACGCAGUGCAUCCAGGAGGUGUACAAGGAAGCUUUCUUUUACGACCUCGAGCCCUUGAUCAAAGAGCUGGAAGACUCUCCACAGAUCUUUGGGGAGCAGGUGGCUCGGAAACAGUUCCUCGCCCGCGUGCCCCACUAUCCGGAGAACAUCGAGCUCAUGAUCCGCAUCGCCCGGGCCGAGGCGAUGGCCUCUCGCCAGUCUGGCGUCGUGGUGUGCGUGGUGAAGACCGAAGAGGACCUCGCCAAGUGCCAAGAUGCCCUCAACAGCUUGGACACGAACAAGAAGUCAGUGGUUAACUUUGGUCCCUGGAAGGCCUCGCCGAGCAUCUCCGACUUGCUGGACUGCAUCAAGAUGGACGUGGGAGCGAAGGGUUAUCGAGUCUCCUUCCAGGUCUACGCCUCGGAGAAGGGCUUCCGCUUCAAGUCCAACAGUCACUUCUAUACAUUUUUGUUCACUUGGUGGUAAAAAGAGCCCCUUUUUAGAACUGUCUUCCUGUCUGCAUGAGAAUGGAUAAGCUUUGCCAGGGGUGGAAUUCUAGCAGGAGCUCCUUUGCAUAUUAGGCCACACACCCCUGAUGUCAGCAAUCCUCCAAGAGCUUACAAACAAGAGCCUUGUAAGCUCUUGGAGGAUUGGCUACAUCAGGGGGGUGUGUGGCCUAAUAUGCAAAGGAGCUCCUGCUAGAAUUCCACCCCUGACAGAUUCUGUUUCCAGCACUGCAACCACCCUCUGUCUAGGAUUACAUACGCUUUGAUGCGAACUUUAGCCUCAGCAUUUGAAAAAACAAAGACGACACUGGAUUUUACUUUUGUUUCUGACCUCUUUAAAAUAAUGAUAAAAAUAAUAAAUUGCCUGCAGCCUUU